rnacentral:rRNA from 1 species
GCCAUGCCGCGUGUGUGAAGAAGGCCCUCGGGUUGUAAAGCACUUUCAGUGAGGAAGAACGCCUGGUGGUUAAUACCCAUCAGGAAAGACAUCACUCACAGAAGAAGCACCGGCUAACUCCGUGCCAGCAGCCGCGGUAAUACGGAGGGUGCGAGCGUUAAUCGGAAUUACUGGGCGUAAAGCGCGCGUAGGUGGCUUGAUAAGCCGGUUGUGAAAGCCCCGGGCUCAACCUGGGAACGGCAUCCGGAACUGUCAAGCUAGAGUGCAGGAGAGGAAGGUAGAAUUCCCGGUGUAGCGGUGAAAUGCGUAGAGAUCGGGAGGAAUACCAGUGGCGAAGGCGGCCUUCUGGACUGACACUGACACUGAGGUGCGAAAGCGUGGGUAGCAAACAGGAUUAGAUACCCUGGUAGUCCACGCCGUAAACGAUGUCGACCAGCCGUUGGGUGCCUAGCGCACUUUGUGGCGAAGUUAACGCGAUAAGUCGACCGCCUGGGGAGUACGGCCGCAAGGUUAAAACUCAAAUGAAUUGACGGGGGCCCGCACAAGCGGUGGAGCAUGUGGUUUAAUUCGAUGCAACGCGAAGAACCUUACCUACUCUUGACAUCCUGCGAACUUGUGAGAGAUCACUUGGUGCCUUCGGGAACGCAGAGACAGGUGCUGCAUGGCUGUCGUCAGCUCGUGUUGUGAAAUGUUGGGUUAAGUCCCGUAACGAGCGCAACCCUUGUCCUUAUUUGCCAGCGCGUAAUGGCGGGAACUCUAAGGAGACUGCCGGUGACAAACCGGANGAAGGUGGGGACGACG